GACGAACGCUGGCGGCGUGCUUAACACAUGCAAGUCGAACGGUAAGGCCCUUCGGGGUACACGAGUGGCGAACGGGUGAGUAACACGUGGGUGAUCUGCCCUGCACUUCGGGAUAAGCCUGGGAAACUGGGUCUAAUACCGGAUAGGACCACUGCCUGCAUGGGUGGUGGGGGAAAGCUUUUGCUGUGUGGGAUGGGCCCGCGGCCUAUCAGCGUGUUGGUGGUGUGAUGGCCUACCAAGGCGACGACGGGUAGGCGGCCUGAGAAGGUGACCGGCCACACUGGGACUGAGAUACGGCCCAGACUCCUACGGGAGGCAGCAGUGGGGAAUAUUGCACAAUGGGCGCAAGCCUGAUGCAGCGACGCCGCGUGAGGGAUGACGGCCUUCGGGUUGUAAACCUCUUUCAGCACCGACGAAGCGCAAGUGUCGGUAGGUGUAGAAGAAGGACCGGCCAACUACGUGCCAGCCGCCGCCGUAA
rnacentral:rRNA from 1 species